ensembl:lncRNA
UAUGGGCUCAGAACUCAUUUGUGGACGGUUGAGCUGUAAUCAUGGAAACACUCAGUGCCAUGGAAGAUCAUCAUCGCCCAUAAUCAGUGCCAGUGCUAUGGAAGGUCAUGAUCUCCCAUAAUCAGUGCCAGUGCUAUGGAAGAUCAUCAUCUCCCAUAAUCAGUGCCAGUGCCAUGGAAGAUCAUCAUCUCCCAUAAUCAGUGCCAGUGCCAUGGAAGGUCAUGAUCUCCCAUAAUCAGUGCCAGUGCCAUGGAAGAUCAUCAUCUCCCAUAAUCAGUGCCAGUGCCAUGGAAGAUCAUCAUCUCCCAUAAUCAGUGCCAGUGCCAUGGAAGUUCAUGAUCUCCCAUAAUCAUUGCCAGUGCUAUGGAAGUUCAUGAUCUCCCAUAAUCAUUGCCAGUGCCAUGGAAGAUCAUAAUCCACCAAAAUGUAACACUUUACAUUAAGGUUCCCUUAUCUACCAUUAUUCACAGCAUUAAGCAGCAUUAGUAAAUGUUCGACUUAGCAUUAGUAUAACAAAAGUAAUGUCAACAGUGACGUAACACUGUAUUAAUGUUGCAUUCAGCUAUCUCGUAAAUUUUGACCACUGACCAGGGUGAACCAAGGAAAACGCCCCUGAACUCAGAAUUCCCACUUGGAAAGUUGGGACAGUUCAGCAAGUGACGUCUAAUCAACAUGGCUGCUCACAGCAUGAAGAGUAAACAAAGCGGGAAUUUUUUUUUUUUUUUACCUUUAAAUGAGUUAUACUCUAUAUACAAAUAUGCUUUAGAC